rnacentral:misc_RNA from 1 species
CACAGCCGGCGGUGUGGCCGAUGCAUCUGUCUUCGCCCCCUCACCCUCCCUCCCCCUCUCGCUCCGAUCCGCGCGGCCGCCGUCCUAUCCUUCAGCCGACCGCAGUAGGUGGGGCGUGUUCUCGUAUCGUAUCCUGCCGCUCUGGUGUGCGUGCCGCCCUCUGCUGCCAGCUUCGACUUGCCCGGUCGCAUCGCGGGUCGUCCCUGGGCUUCCUUUGCUUCGUCACUGCCACCAGCAUCUUGCCUGCGUUUCUCACGAACAUCGUGUACAUCUCACUUCUGCGCUCCUCCCGGGCGCGUCGUUGUGAGCGACCAUGCGUGGCUUCCUCUCGUUUGAGGCCGUAACGCUACUUAUCUGUUGGGUAGCCCUACUGAUCCUGACUAAGGGCCUCGCCACCACCGUGCUGCGGCACGACCUCGUCGCGUGGGUGCAGAGCGUGCUUGGGAAGCCAAUGAUGCGCAGCGCGACGCUGAUGCAGGAUCGCACGCUUGACGACGCCUUGCCCGAGGAGCUGCUGUCGCUCUUCUGGAUGCGCCGUGCCGUGUCGCAGCCGUACAGCAGCUGGUACCUGCACAGCUCGGAAGCCUACAGCGGCGUGCCAGGGCCCAUGCGCCUGCCAAAGGAUGUCGUCACCGAAGGGCAGAUCUUGUACCCCUUCCAUGUGCUGUACCUGUACGCGUGUGGGGUGUGGCUGCAGUGGAUGCGGCCCGAACUCGCCAUGAAACUCCUCACGUCGCGUCAGCAGCCGCGCCUGACGCACAGCGACGCCAUUGAGCUGCGGAGCACGCUUGCGUGGGUUAGCGUAGGCUGUGUCGUCCUCGUCGGCGCGCCGGGAACAUGGCUUUUCGCCGCCGCCCUCUCGCGCUUGCUGCGUCGCGCGGCUUGCGAUCGGGAGCGUGCGUCUCGUCUGCAUCUGCCAGCUGACAGCUGCAUCAACGUGACGGCGUCUACAGUUGUGGCAGCGCCACCGGCGAAUGCGGCAACGGCGUCGUCCAGGUCGCCGGAUGAGACGAUCAUCGGCAGGGAGAAGGAGCUGACUGGCAUGGCGGCGCGUGAGGCGAGAGACGUGGCCGCCUUCCUUGGCUCUCUCAUCACUGUUCUCAUGGGCAUUCUGCCACUCCUCGUGGUGGAGGUGUGCACGAUGCAGCCGUGGUGCCUGUGCGGCUCGCUUCUCGUGUGGGCACUUUUUUUUGCCCUCCAGAAUGAGCUGCAGCUCCACGCCGGUGAGGCGCAGACGGCAGACGCCUCCUUCGACAUGACCACACCGAUCGUCGUCGGGAACGGUGUAGAGGUCUUUGCGCUGAAGCAGGAGCCGGGCGUCUGCCCUCUAAUCGGGCUCUCCGUGACAGUCACCGUGAUUUCGCUUGCCAUGCCUUCGUGUCUCUUCGCGACACUACUCCUCGUCCUCUGGAGCCUUUCUGCAUGCUGGCAGCGCGGCUACCGCCGCGUCCUCGUGAAGGUGAAGCUGCCGAGAGGGAGGAGCAGUCCGUCGGUGGGAAAGGACGGCUACGUGCGCAUGGGUUACUCGUGCUACAGGGACACGCUCUGGAUGAACAGAUGCUUCUGCUACGCCACGCUGUUUGCUGUGUGCCUUGUGCUGGCCGUUACGACACCGUGGUGGCUGCAUCAGCAGCCGGUCCUGACAUUCAUGGACCUCUUCGCGAGCCCGCCAAAGCCGUCGUCCAGCGCAGCCACGAAGGGUGAAGCGGCUGAGCGUGCGAUUGACCCGGCGAACUUGUCCUUCACGGGUGGGCAUGAGAUGCACGCCCGCUGCCUCGCUGGCCCCUAUUCGUACUACAACUGCGCGCAGCCGACGCCGAAUAUGUGGCGGUUGACCGAGUGGCUUGGGUUUCCGUGGACUUCCACGGCCAAGGCCCUCACUGGCAUCUUCACGGUGAACCAGAGCUACAUCAACAAGGAGAGUCCUCUGUGGCUGAACUACAUCGUACUUGUCCUUCUAACCCUCGCGAACGCGGGCAGCAUUCUCGUGCUGACGUUCUACCGGGUCCGUAAGCCGCCGUUAUCCUUCGAGACGCCGGUGGUGUACGCAGCGCAGCUGGCGGCACAGCGGGCAGAGCAUCAGGCGUACUGGGCUUCCAAGCGGGCGGGCCGCUGCGACGGUGCACGAACACCAGCUCCGCUGGCACCACAGCCCAAGGUGGAGACCGCCUCCGCAGCGCAGGGCAGCGCUGGUGGAGGGCGCCAGCGAGUCAAGGUGGUGACGUGCCUUUCACGGGAAGAGUACGUGGUGAAGCAGGUGGUGCUGCUGUGUUGGAUGCUCUCCGCUUCCACCAUCUCUGGCACGGUGCUGUUUCUGCGCAACGCGCCUAGCAGCUGCGUGCUGGUCUUUCCCUCCGUCUCGCUGCUGGCGGCGGUUUCCGUUGUGAUCAGCGUUCUGCGCUGUGAGCGGCCGCUCGCCUUCCACCCCGCUCCCCAGCAGGCGGCUAAAACCGUCAGUGGUGCGUGGAAGAUGAAGAAGGACACCUCAGCGCCCAUGCAGCAGGACGGCGACGACUCGCGACCGCCUGCUGCCUCGCGGUGGUGCACGACGACGGUUGCGCCGAGUCUGGCACAUGCUGCCGAUGUGCCAUGUCUCUACCUUGUCUUUACAGCAUCGGUGCUCAGCACUGGUGCGCUGACGUGGACGAUAGUGCCGAUGCUGCUGCGCCACGGCAUUCUCCUCCUCCUGUGCUGGCGCACGUCUUUAUCGCUAGUGCUGCUGCGAACGUGGGCCCCGGCGGACACCACGUGCAACAUCUUCGCGAGGCUCGGCGCAGUGAGCUGUGUUGCGCUAGGGCUCCUGCUGGCCGCGCAGGCUGUCCCGCAGUCGUCUGCGUCAGCUGUGGCGUGCCGGCUCGCACGCUUUACGGACAAGGUGGGCGACGUGUACGCGCACACCGGCGACAACGUCCUGCGUGCGCUCAUCUACCAAUGCAUUGCCUCCUGCUUCAUGUACGCCUGCGGCGCUGUUCACGCGACGCUGCGCGUGGCGCGAUUGGCACUGGAACCGGAGGAGGUACACCUGGUGCCCAUCGAGGAGGAGCUUCGCAUCUGUAAAAGCAGUUGCGAUGCCGCUGCAGCAGGACAUGCGACGAGGCAGCAGUAGGUUGCGACGGCGUGUUUUGGGUAUGUGCACCCGAUGCGGCGCCACAACAACGUCGCACCUUUUGAUCUACUCUCGUUGACCACUCCGCGCAUAUGGUCUCAUGGCCGUCUUCCACUCCUCCAAGGCGAGACGCGCAUGUCGUGCACGUUCGCUGGUUGCACUUCUUCUGCUGCCGUGAUGGCGCAGGGCUUGAUGUGCCGCUGAACACCUCGCACGCACACAGGCAUGCAGCUUUAGGAUGGAGGAGGGCGGCUGAGCAAGGGGAGGGAACACGCUGCUGUGUCCUGGAGUAACUCCUUACUCUCUGUGUCUCCACUUGAGCUAGAGGGGUGGAAGGGGGCACGGCGUUGCGUGUGCGCACACCGCCACCCCACUAGCUCAAGUGGAGACACAGACCCGGACACACGAGCACUCAUGCAUCCGUUACCUGUCUCUCAUCCGCCCCGCCCUGCGCGUAUUGGGUGCCUCACGCCUGAUUUCGACCUCAUUGGCUUUGCUUCGCUUGGCAUCGGUGUGUUCAUUCCGUGUAUCCUUUCCCUUCUCUUGCUUUCGCAUCUGCGUGCGUGUGCAGGCCCGUCGAGUGCCCGAGCCUGACCGUGCUGACGCUCGCCGCCGUUGAGCAAGCCCUCGCCUGGCGUACAGACACCUGCGAAGCAGCGCCACACAAGC